AACGAACGCUGGCGCCAGGCCUAACACAUGCAAGUCGAGCGAGGACUUCGGUCCUAACGGCGGACGGGUGAGUAACGCGUGGUAACGUGCCCCUUGGUACGUAUUAGCCCCGGGAAACUGGGAGUAAUACCGUAUGCGCUCUACGGAGGAAAGAUUUAUCGCCAAAGGAGCGGCCCUCGUUGGAUUAGGUAGUUGGUGGGGUAAUGGCCUACCAAGCCGACGAUCCAUAGCUGGUUUGAGAGGAUGAUCAGCGACAUUGGGACUGAGACACGGCCCAGACUCGUACGGGAGGCAGCAGUGGGGAAUCUUAGACAAUGGGCGCAAGCCUGAUCUAGCCAUGCCGCGUGAGAGAUGAAGGCAUUAGGGUUGUAAAGCUCUUUCAGCGAGGAAGAUAAUGAAUGUACUCGCAGAAGAAGCCCCGGCUAACUCCGUGCCAGCCGCCGCCGUAACAC
rnacentral:rRNA from 1 species